AAGCUGGUGCCGGGGGCCUGGUGGUGACUGCCCUCCGGGGCCACGGCGCUGCUCCCAGCGGCCUGGCCUGCAAGGAACAAACUGAGAAAUGGAAACCUAGAUGCAGAGACAGAGGCAUGAAGAAAGGGACCCCCCACACACACCCUCCCCCUCCCCAGAGGGAAAUUCACAUUCUUCAAAACCUUGGAAAUAAGUGACUUUCCCCGUGCUUUUUAAAAACCUGCCUACUGGGUAUCCUUAAGUAAACUUACUGAAGGACUGCAAAUAUCUAGAGGAGUCCCCGAGUAAUAGAGAAAUCCAGGAAACAGCUCCCUGAAAGGGGGGGGGGGGGGGGUGUAACUGUCCCCAAGGGGAGAAGUGUUAGGAGGCUUCCUGAUCACCAUGGCGACUCAGCAGGUAAGUCACAUCCAUUUAGAGGACGGGGUCCCCCUCACUUCCCCCCAGAGCCCGAGGGCCCGCACCUUCCCAGCCUGGAAGCGAGGUGCCCGGGAAGGGCAGACGCCUCUCCCGAGCUGAGUGCCCGAGCGGGUCCAACUUCAGACCCGACCUCCCCUGCACCCGGUCGAGCAGCGCGGGGGAACGAGGAAGGGCGGGCAUCCCGAGCGGAAUCUCCGUGAUUUGCCCGAGGAGACAGCACAGACCAGACCCCAGGAGCGCCAGCCUUUCCGUGCAGCUGCCACGACAGUGGAUCCUGAGAGCCAAAAAAGCAGUGCCCGUUUAGCCUUCAUCACAGGAAGAAGCAUGCAGAAUGAGGAGGAAAUGUCCGAGGCGCACGUACCCAGCACAGCCAGCUACCGCCACUGCUCUCCCAGCUCUGACACUACCACAGUCCCAGUUUAAGGACAUUGAUACGCUGGAGCACAACCUAGGAAGGCUGACCAGGAGGCCACCACGUGGAAGAACCACAACUGAAGAACAGACAUGGCCACAAGGCCUGGGUUGUCAUCCAGACCACCACUUGCUGACGAUGUGUUUGGGUACAUUACUCCAUCUCUCCAGCCUUCAUUCCUCAGCCUGUAAAAUGGGGAGGGAUGUUGGUCCCUGAUCCUUUACAACUCUAAGGUUCUAUAGCUUUUUCAAUGAAAUUGUUGUGGAGAGGAAGACAUAAGGCUUCCCUAUCGAUUGGAAUAUUUACACCAACCUACCACAAGGAAUAUUUCAUUAUACUAAGCCAUGUGAACAUGAAGAACAAGGUUAACUUGCUGAAGCAAUUUUAGGUUGGUUUUCCUCUUACUAGCUGAAAAAUCGACCCAGAUGUUUACCAAUAGGAUUGAUGGAUACAAAUAUCAAGUCAUACCUAUAUACUUAAGCAUUAAGCGAAAAAGAAAAUGACUUAUUAGAUACUCAAUAAUGUUUGUUGAGGAAGGUAGAGGAAGAGACUCUCUGAAAGAUUUAAGUAUUUAAGUACUAUUUAAGAAUCAGACUAUAGAUGAAAUAAGUCCCAGCAACAAUUUGCGUACAUUGAAGUAGACUUACUCAAAAUAAUGUGCUUUUGGGAUAUUGUAGCAGAGAUGGGUAACUUUGACCUUAGGAGAAAAAUGAUUAAGUCUACAGUUUACUAUUAUAUCCCCAUCUCUAGUGCCCAGAACAGGGGCACAUAGUGAUUAAAUGUGUGAUGGCUAAUUGAAUGAAUGAAUAAAUAACAAAUCUGGAUGGAUGAUGGAUGGAUGAAUCAUUUAACCAUGAAUGAAUAAAUCAAGCAUUCAUGUGAAAGCUAUAAUAGUUUGGAAAAAAAUAACACUAAACAUUUGUGGAAAAGGUUCACAUGUUAACUAGUAUUUGUUUCUGGAUAUUUAAAGUAAAAGGAUAACUGGAGGUAUUCAAGAAUAAACAGAUUGGGCAGCUACUUGGCAGGUGUGUGAGAUGGGAUAAAGAAGGUUCAGCUUGGAAAGGUGAUUGGACUAGUUUUGUCUUGAUAUUCUCUGAUCUUUUUUUUUCUUUUUUUAAAUAUAUUUUAUUGAUUUUUUACAGAGAGGAAGGGAGAGAGAUAGAGAGUCAGAAACAUCGAUG